UUGCAUUGAUGACUGGUUCCAAAUCCAUUCGCGGUUUCCACCAGAAGCUGAUAAUGAUGGUCCAAACCUUCCUUGGAUGUCUGAGCGA
rnacentral:snoRNA from 1 species